rnacentral:rRNA from 1 species
GACGAACGUUGGCGGCGUGCUUAACACAUGCAAGCCGAACGGAAAGGCCCUGCUUUUGUGGGGUGCUCGAGUGGCGAACGGGUGAGUAACACGUGAGUAACCUGCCCUUGACUUUGGGAUAACUUCAGGAAACUGGGGCUAAUACCGGAUAGGAGCUCCUGCUGCAUGGUGGGGGUUGGAAAGUUUCGGCGGUUGGGGAUGGACUCGCGGCUUAUCAGCUUGUUGGUGGGGUAGUGGCUUACCAAGGCUUUGACGGGUAGCCGGCCUGAGAGGGUGACCGGCCACAUUGGGACUGAGAUACGGCCCAGACUCCUACGGGAGGCAGCAGUGGGGAAUAUUGCACAAUGGGCGGAAGCCUGAUGCAGCAACGCCGCGUGCGGGAUGACGGCCUUCGGGUUGUAAACCGCUUUCGCCUGUGACGAAGCGUGAGUGACGGUAAUGGGUAAAGAAGCACCGGCUAACUACGUGCCAGCAGCCGCGGUGAUACGUAGGGUGCGAGCGUUGUCCGGAUUUAUUGGGCGUAAAGGGCUCGUAGGUGGUUGAUCGCGUCGGAAGUGUAAUCUUGGGGCUUAACCCUGAGCGUGCUUUCGAUACGGGUUGACUUGAGGAAGGUAGGGGAGAAUGGAAUUCCUGGUGGAGCGGUGGAAUGCGCAGAUAUCAGGAGGAACACCAGUGGCGAAGGCGGUUCUCUGGGCCUUUCCUGACGCUGAGGAGCGAAAGCGUGGGGAGCGAACAGGCUUAGAUACCCUGGUAGUCCACGCUGUAAACGGUGGGUACUAGGUGUGGGGUCCAUUCCACGGGUUCCGUGCCGUAGCUAACGCUUUAAGUACCCCGCCUGGGGAGUACGGCCGCAAGGCUAAAACUCAAAGGAAUUGACGGGGCCCCGCACAAGCGGCGGAGCAUGCGGAUUAAUUCGAUGCAACGCGUAGAACCUUACCUGGGUUUGACAUGGAUCGGGAGUGCUCAGAGAUGGGUGUGCCUCUUUUGGGGUCGGUUCACAGGUGGUGCAUGGCUGUCGUCAGCUCGUGUCGUGAGAUGUUGGGUUAAGUCCCGCAACGAGCGCAACCCUUGUUCACUGUUGCCAGCACGUUAUGGUGGGGACUCAGUGGAGACCGCCGGGGUCAACUCGGAGGAAGGUGGGGAUGACGUCAAGUCAUCAUGCCCCUUAUGUCCAGGGCUUCACGCAUGCUACAAUGGCUGGUACAGAGAGUGGCGAGCCUGUGAGGGUGAGCGAAUCUCGGAAAGCCGGUCUCAGUUCGGAUUGGGGUCAGCAACUCGACCUCAUGAAGUCGGAGUCGCUAGUAAUCGCAGAUCAGCAACGCUGCGGUGAAUACGUUCCCGGGGCU